GAUGAAGAACGUAGCGAAAUGCGAUAAGUAAUGUGAAUUGCAGAAUUCAGUGAAUCAUCGAAUCUUUGAACGCACAUUGCGCCCGCCAGUAUUCUGGCGGGCAUGCCUGUUCGAGCGUCAUUACAACCCUCAGGCCCCCGGGCCUGGCGUUGGGGAUCGGCGGAGCCCCCCGUGGGCACACGCCGUCCCCCAAAUGCAGUGGCGGUCCCGCCGCAGCUUCCAUCGCGUAGUAGCUAACACCUCGCGACUAGAGAGCGGCGCGGCCACGCCGUAAAACACCCAACUCUUCUGAAGUUGACCUCGAAUCAGGUAGGAAUACCCGCUGAACUUAAGCAUAUCAAUAAGCGGAGGA
rnacentral:misc_RNA from 1 species